CAUUAAAUGGCUGAAAGUAAGCACUGGUCUCUUAAACCAAUUAUAAUAUAAUUACACAUAUUUUUAAUG
rnacentral:tRNA from 1 species